rnacentral:rRNA from 1 species
AGUAAUACAUAAGUAACCUGCCCUAGACAGGGGGAUAACUAUUGGAAACGAUAGCUAAGACCGCAUAGGUACGGACACUGCAUGGUGACCGUAUUAAAAGUGCCUCAAAGCACUGGUAGAGGAUGGACUUAUGGCGCAUUAGCUGGUUGACGGGGUAACGGCCCACCAAGGCGACGAUGCGUAGCCGACCUGAGAGGGUGACCGGCCACACUGGGACUGAGACACGGCCCAG